CAAUAGCGUAUAUUAAAGUUGUUGCAGUUAAAAAGCUCGUAGUUGGAUUUCUGGUUGAAGCGACCGGUCGGGCGUUGAUUCGUCUGCACUGGAGUCGGUUUUGGCCAUCCUCUAGGAAAGUGCGUCUGGUAUUAAGUUAUCGGGCGUAUGAUCCUGGUCUUUUACUGUGAAAAAAUUAGAGUGUUUAAAGCAGGCCUUCGCCUUGAAUACAUUAGCAUGGAAUAAUAAGAUAGGACUUUGGUCUAUUUUGUUGGUUUGCAGACCGAAGUAAUGAUUAAUAGGGACAGUUGGGGGUAUUUAUAUUCCGAUGUCAGAGGUGAAAUUCUUAGAUUUUCGGAAGAUAAACUUAUGCGAAAGCAUUUACCAAGGAUGUUUUCAUUAA
rnacentral:rRNA from 1 species